rnacentral:rRNA from 1 species
GACUACAGGGGUAUCUAAUCCUGUUCGCUCCCCCAGCUUUCGCGCCUCAGCGUCAGUUACGGUCCAGGAAGCCGCCUUCGCCACCGGUGUUCCUCCACAUAUCUAUACAUUUCACCGUUACACGUGGAAUUCCGCUUCCCUCUCCCGCACUCCAGCACGCCAGUAUCCAGGGUCCCCCCACAGUUGAGCCGUGGGAUUUCACCCCGGACUUAACGCGCCGCCUGCGCGCCCUUUACGCCCAGUAAUUCCGGACAACGCUCGCCACCUACGUAUUACCGCGGCUGCUGGCACGUAGUUAGCCGUGGCUUCCUCCAGGGGUACCGUCCGUUCUCGUCCCCCUAGACAGAGCUUUACGACCCGAAGGCCUUCUUCGCUCACGCGGCGUCGCUCGGUCAGGCUUUCGCCCAUUGCCGAAAAUCCCUCACUGCAGCCUCCCGUAGG